UUCGAAAUAUUUUUCUGCUCUGAUCACGUGACACCGGCAGAAUAAUCUUUCUCUGGAUCAGACGCCAUGUUCUUUUUAACCUCAAUCUUUAAUUUUUGGAUGGUUUGUUUUGAAAUUAUUUUGCUGUUGGUUGUCAGAUUUCGGAUUGCUACUAUUAUACUGUGAAAUUAAUUUGCAGUAGAAAAUUGAGGUAUAAAAUAUUUCCAUUGGUUUCUUUAUUCUUAUAAUUUUUACAAGAGAAAUUGAAAAUGGAUUUACAACAGAAAGGCGUGAAAUUCGUUAUAAAUUUGAUGCGACAGUUCAAAGUUUUGUACUUUCCAGACCUGCACAACGAAUUACCUAUUUGAAAAAUAGAAUAUGGUUAAAAAUUGCUGAUGUGAUAGAGGAUUCAAGUACCAUUUACAAACAAAAUAUUGAAGAGAAUGUGCUCAAAAGGAAAUUCAUAUGAAUUCUUUUUUGUUGACCAGGAUGGAAAAAGUCAUUGGAGCCCAUAGUUAGAAUAAGAAUAAGUUAGGCCUAGAGGUGUACCAGCCAGAAGUAGAGGAUGACAAAGAAAAUCAACUAUGAAUAAUAUUCCAUGGAUAUGAUUCAUGUAUGAUGUAGUAGCCUACAGAAGAAAGAGAUGGACUAAUCUAAGAAAUAUAUUCAUUUUUUCAGUAAAUCUUGAUGUGUUUAUUCCAUGUUAUUCUUAAUAAUAUCUUCUUUUUCUGAUCGCUCCUGCUAACUGCUUCAAAUCAGGUAGUUUUGAAUAAAACAGCAAGUGACAUGAAGCUAAUAAAAUGAGUUUUGAUGGUUUAUACUUGAGGGAUUUUUAAAAUUAUAUUCAACCCAACAGCAUCGAACUCUUAUUAACAA